UUACGGCUUCAAGACAUUAACAAGCCGCGUCGAAUGACACCUCAACGAUCAAAAUCGGUUCAUCCGUUCAAGAGUUAUGAAUAUUUACAUACAUACAUACGUACGUACGUACGUACGUACGUACACACAUACAUACACUCGGACAUCAUCGUGAAAUUAGUCAGGAUAGCUUCCUAGGACCUCGAAACGUCGACAUCUGAUGGAAAUUCGAUUUUCGUAAAUCGGACCGAAACCAAUAACUUCCCGAAUUUUUGAAAAUUUACAAUUUUCUUAGCGGGAAGUUAAAAAAAUGUCGAAAAUAAUUUUAUUAUUAUCAAUUUUUGCAAUGAUUGGUCUCUAUGCUGGUGCAGAUGCGGCAUGUCCAGGCGGCUGGGUGAGUGAUUACCAUAACACAGCGAAAAACUAAAGCAAUGAAUGGUCCUGCGGGCGAACCCUAAAACUUCCCACUGUUUUUGAACUUCGAGAGCUCGAAUACAUUAUUAUAUUAGUAAACUGAUCAGCUCAUCGAGCUGAAAAUACGGCUGCUAAGGACUGGUUUUUCUGGAGAUUUUUAUUUCCCAUAAUGCCAUCCAUCACAAGGUUAUGGCUGUUGUGAAGGAAAUGUAUGUGAUUCGUAUUUGUUUCAAGGUACGUGCAUAACUCAAGUGGAACACGUAGCUCGAGCUAAUGCAUUGGGAAAAUAAUUAUAAUAAUAGAGUGAAAAUUUAAAGAUGUAUUUUUCCAAUUAAUAAAAC